rnacentral:lncRNA from 1 species
AGCCACCGAAGACUGCAGUCACAGUGGAGUGGGUUGGUUCCCAGCGCCCUAGGAGGCAGAACAGGAAGUCAGGGCCCCCUGCCCAGCUUGGCCAGUAGCCUUCAUAUCCUUGGCUCUCUGGAAAUGCAUUUUCAGACUUUGGCUAGACUGGAGGUAUCCAAUAUGGGGCCAGCGGAGUAGUCGUCUCCACUGUGGCAAAGUUAAUAUCUCCAGAGUGUACUUCCAAUCCUGUGGAAGUUUCAACUCCCAUCCCAGCCCCUUCCACUUCUGAGGCGUGGCUCUCACCUACGCAAGUAAGACUCACUCUUCAACUCAACCCCAUCCUAGCUCCUUUAGGGAGCUUCCUGGAUCACUGGCCAUCUGAUUAUCUGGUUCCCUUGCCCUGUUGAAGGGUCCACUGGAGGAUAUACUCUGCAGAGAAGGUUCUGAAACCCAGCAACCUAGGGAGCAGCUUCAAACCACUUGGCUAGACUUUCAUCCCAGUUGUGACUGGGACGAAAAUACUAGAAAUUCUGUUUUUUUUUUUAAAUUAUAUCCUUUAACAAUUCUACUUUUGAAAGUUUUAGAAUAUGCAUACGUAGUAUAUCCGUAUUAUAGUGUAUGCACACAUUAUGAAAAUAAUUAAAUAUGCAUAUAGAAGGAAUACAAACUCGAAAAUGUUCACUGACAGAGGUGUAUAAAAAAAUGUAGAGAUUCCUGAUCUGUGGAAGAGAGGUCUGGCCUGGGAGUGAGGGAAUCUAGAUUCUAGUCCAACAUCUCACUGACCUGAUAGUCAAACUUUAGCUAGUCACCUAAUAUUUAUGGGCCUCAGUUUUUCCUGUGUAAAAUAAGAAGGGAAUACCUGUUGCAGAGUGCAAAGUGGUUAAGAAUAUGUGCUUUGGAGUCAAGGCAAACCUAGAUCUGAUCCUGGGCCCUGCCAUCUGCUAGCUGUGCCAUGCUUAGACACAAUGUUAUUAUAUAUAAUAAAAGGAUAAAAAUGCCUUACAGUUGUAAGAAAUAAAUAGAAAACUUAUCUAAAGUGUUUACCCCAUAGUACAUGUUUUCUAUUAGUUCUUAUUAAAUAUUUACAGUGUUUACAUAAUUGAGGAUUCCUUUGAAGGCUUCUGAGGUGGGAAACAAGACAAUAUGCAUAGUGUGGAUACAUAGUUGUAUAAUAUACUGUAUGCAUAAGGAAAGGACAUCUGCCAAAAUGCUGACAGUGAUGACAUUGUCGCUGACACUUUCAUGCUUUCAUGUUUUGAAUGUUCAUUGGGGAGAAACACUGCUACUUACAGAUGGGAAAGAGAUGUGAGGUCGUUGAAGGAGCCUUCAGGAACGCUGGAAAUGUCAUUGCCAUGGAGGGUUCUGAAGCAGAGGGCACAGGUCGGAAGCUGAGAAAGGAAGAGACCCAAGGGAGUUACUGGAGUUUCAGAGAUCAUAUGAAGAGCUGUGCUUAAGACCGGAAGUUCUGGAGCCAGGCUGUGUGAGUCAAACCUGACUUUGUCGCUUACCAGCUGUGUGACUAAGGGCAAAGCAAUUUACCCUCUCUGUGCUUCAGCCUCUAUUGUAAAACAGAUGUCAAAGUGCCAACCCUGGACCAUGGUUGGGAGGUCACAGUGAGUCACCUUCUGGCUCAGCAGAAGAAUUUUCUGAUGCUCUAAUAGCUGGUCAAAAGUGGAAUAGAGUUGCCUGGGUCUGGCUCUAUUGCCCAGGCUGGAAUGCAAUGGCGUGCUCUCAGCUCACUGCAACCUCUGCCUCCCAGGCUCCAAUGAUCCUCCCACCUCCGCCUCCCAAGUAGCUGGGACUACAGGCGCAUGUUACCAUGCCUGGCUAAUUUUUUGAAUUUUUUGGUAGAGACAGGGUUUCACUAUGUUGCCCAGGCUAGUCUUGAAGUCCUGGGCUCAAGCAAUCCUCCCACCUCGGCCUCCCAAAGUGCUGGGAUUACAGGUGUGAGCCACCAUGCUGGGGCAAGCCUACUAAUUCGUAUUUCAAGAAGCAAGUGCUAGCGUGUUGUAUGGUUACGUGUACCGCUGAUGAACUCAUGGCAGUAGUAGUGCCAGACUGGGACAAAUGAUGCUGAGGAAAGAGAAAACCCUGGUCAGGCUGGUGGUGUUCACCCCAUCACCCCCACCACCCCAAAAGACAGACAGAUGGACGGGCAAACAUUUUCUCUCCCUCUUACAUAUUGAGUUGCCCCAAACAUCACUACUCUAAUUAUGAACAGAUGCAUGCAGAUUCCUUAAAAUUGGCAGGUCCCACCUCCUGGCAGUGAACCCACACACGGAACUAUUAGACUGGGAUGGAAGACAAUAGGUUGGGAUUGAGGGGGAAUGGUAGGAGAAGGAAGGGGGAGCAGGUCCGGCUUCAGCCCUGGCCAGUGAUACGAGCCCAUCUCCUGCUGUGUUCAACUGGAAACAGGGAAAUGGUUGUGCUGAUGUAUCCAUUCUCAAACUCCCCAGAGAAGGUGGAUAAUAAAUAAGUGACAAUAACAGAUUGCACACUGUCAGCGCGGGCACUUCUUUGCCCCCAGAGAAUUGAUUUUUAAUAACAGCGCAGAUGACAUGUGGCGGGAGUUGUCACUGACACCGGUGUUUUGUGGGCCUCAAUAAAUCACAUCAGCCUGGAGGCUCUGAAAUGGACUAGCUUGUUGGGUGCUGUUUGUGGAUUGCUACUCGGCCCUGGAAUGGCUCCCGGGUCCCAGGAGGCUGGAUUCUGCAACCUACUGACUGCUAGACCUUGGCCAGUUACUUCACCAGUCUGGGCCUCAGUUUCUCCAUGUUUAAAAUGGGCAGAACUGUCUUGGUCUCACAGCAGUGUUGCAAAAGGUUAGACGAAGAAAACUGUCCCAUAAAAUAUGUUGAUCACUAUUAUAGUAAUAAUGAUCUAGAAAGUCAGGAAGUUGAUAGGUUUGGGGGCGGAGUAUCUGGCAUCUCUGUUUUCAUGAAUAGCAUUCAAGGGUGAUAUUCAAAGGACCAAAGGAAUUCAAAGGAAUGUGCUAAUAAAAUAGAAGCAAGAUGGGAAGGCACAAAAAUCAGGUGUUAAUCAGGCCCAGGAUUGGGGGUGGUGGUGGGGUGCCUUCCUGCCCUAGCAAGCUGUGAUAUAAGAAUAAUAACAAGUGAAUAUUUGUUAAGCAUUUACAGUGCCAGAGCUGCACUAAGUACUUCAUAUACAGUAUCUCAUUUAAUCCUCAUAAGACCCUGUGAGGCAAUUACCAUAAUUAUCUGAUUUUAUGGAUGAGAAGACACUCAGCUACCCAUGUGUAGGACAGGGCCAGGCAGGCGAGGAGAGUGGGCCGGCUGUGGAGGCUGCAGCCUGCACAACUCUGUUUAAAGGGGCAGGGCUGCUCAGCCAUGCAGGAAUGCAGGGGUAGGGCCCUGGUACGGCCAGGUCUCUCAAUUUUCCAAAAGAAUAUAGAGAGUGGGAUUUGUGGAAGAAAUCUGAUAUUUAAAUGUUGACAGCUUAUUAAGCUUUGUGUUCUUAAAAAGACACUCUAUGAGCCAACCCCACAAUUGCUAACUAAUAGCUGUCUGUGAGCUGGACGGGGGCCCUGGGUUUCCAGCUUGUGAUCUCUGGGGUAGGAGCUGUUUCCAUGCAGAGGUUCACCAUGCUGCAUUGCCCCUCUGAGGAAACAACUGUCAACAGAAUGAUCAUCGAAACGUGGCUAUGACCACACACUAUGCUCAAUACUAGAGGGUAGAAUACAAUUGCAUAUCCUAAUCCUCACAAAGGAGGUGCUAUUGAUCCCAUUUUACACAUAAAGAAGCAGAAAGUUGAAGGGGCUCAGUGAUUUGCUCAAGGUUCCACAGUGGUAGUGCGCUGGACCCUGGGAAUGGCAGACUCUCAAAGGUAGCUCUCUCUACUCCACUGAGCA